GUAGACUAGAAAUCUACUGGGCUCUGCCCGCGCAGGUUCGAAUCCUGCCGCCGUCG
rnacentral:tRNA from 1 species